rnacentral:rRNA from 1 species
GACGAACGCUGGCGGCGUGCUUAACACAUGCAAGUCGAACGAAGUGGCGAACGGGUGAGUAAUACGUGGGUAACCUGCCCUCCUUUUUGGGAUAAGCCUUGGAAACGGGGUCUAAUACCGAAUAAAGGGGGAUGGGCUCGCGGCCUAUCAGCUUGGUGGUGGGGUUAUUGCCUACCAAGGCGGUGACGGGUAGCCGGCCUGAGCGGGUGACCGGGCUAAUGAGGACUGAAAUACGGCCCAGACUCCUACUGGAGGCAGCAUUGGGGGAUAUUGCACAAUGGGCGAAAGCCUGAUGCAGCGACGCCGCGGGGGGGAUGAAGGCUUUCGGGUUGUAAACCUCUUUCGCUUUCGAACGGGUAGGUGGAGAAGAAGCGCCGGCUAACUACGUGCCAGCAGCCGCGGUAAUUC